rnacentral:rRNA from 1 species
GUACCAUAACCGACACAGGUGGGUAGGUAGAGUAUACUAAGGGGCGCGAGAUAACUCUCUCUAAGGAACUCGGCAAAAUGACUCCGUAACUUCGGGAGAAGGAGUGCCUUAUUUAUAAGGUUGCAAUAACAAGAUCCAAGCAACUGCUUAUCAAAAACACAGGUCUCCGCUAAGUCGUAAGACGAUGUAUGGGGGCUGACGCCUGCCCAGUGCCAGAAGGUUAAAGAAGUUGGUUAGUGUAUGCGAAGCUGAUGACUGAAGCCCUGGUGAACGGCGGCCGUAACAAUAACGGUCCUAAGGUAGCGAAAUUCCUUGUCGGGUAAGUUCCGACCCGCACGAAAGGCGUAAUGAUUUGGAUACUGUCUCGGAGAGAGGCUCGGUGAAAUAGACUUGUCUGUGAAGAUGCGGACUACCUGCACCAGGACAGAAAGACCCUAUGAAGCUUUACUGUAACUUGAAAUUGGAAUUGGACUUUGCUUGCGCAGUAUAGGUGGGAAGCGUUGAAGAUAUUCUUGCGGGAGUAUUGGAGCUAUCAGUGAGAUACCACUCUUGUAAUGUUAGAUUUCUAACUUUGAACCAUAAUCUGGUCAAAGAACAGUUUCAGGUGGGCAGUUUGACUGGGGCGGUCGCCUCCCAAAUGGUAACGGAGGCGUACAAAGGUUUCCUCUGAACGGAUAGAAAUCGUAUCUAGAGUGUAAAGGCAUAAGGAAGCUUGACUGUGAGACCUACAAGUCGAGCAGGGACGAAAGUCGGUCUUAGUGAUCUGACGGUACUGAGUGGAAAGGCCGUCACUCAACGGAUAAAAGUUACUCUAGGAUAACAGGCUGAUCUCCCCCAAGAGUUCACAUCGACGGGGAGGUUUGGCACCUCGAUGUCGGCUCAUCGCAUCCUGGGGCGGUAGUACGUCCCAAGGGUUGGGCUGUUCGCCCAUGAAAGCGGUACGCGAGCUGGGUUCAGAACGUCGUGAGACAGUUCGGUCCAUAUCCGGUGUAGGCGUUAGAAUAUUGAGAGGAGCCUUCUUUAGUACGAGAGGACCGAGAAGGACACACCGCUGGUGUACCAGUUAUCGUGCCAACGGUAAACGCUGGGUAGCUAUGUGUGGAGUGGAUAACCGCUGAAAGCAUCUAAGUGGGAAGCCCACCUCAAGAUGAGUAUUCUCAUCACUAUAAGUGAGUAAGGUCACGGUAAGACUAACCGUUUGAUAGGCAUUAAGUGUAAAUGUAGUAAUGCAUGUGCUGGGAUGUCCUAACAGACCGAGGACUUG